rnacentral:lncRNA from 1 species
UGUUCUUUCCUGAAUGCUGGAAGUUCAUCUUAUUCAAAUAUUCAAGAAUCACAUGUGGUAGAGGACUCCAUAUAUACUUGUUUUGUCUAGGAAAGAGCAACAGAGACACGCAAAACUAUGGCCUCGUACUUUCAUCUACUCCCUCCAUUCUUAAUUAUCAGACCAAGAAAAGGGCACUGAUGGCAUCCUGACAGCCCUAAGUUCUUACAAGGAUAAUGAAGCAGAAAUGUCAAUACGCUUCAGUGCAAGUGUCCUCUUAACUAUUCAGCUACAGUGUCUUUGGCAUGGCAGGCCAACAAAAUGUAGAUAUGAUCAAUCAAACAUCGAAUUGGGAGGGCUAUCCAAUAAAUGGAAUACCUAUUCCGUGAAAAUGGACUGUGGUGCCUAGAUCCAUGCAUUAAGUAAAUCCUAAAGGAAAAGAUCUCAUGUAAAAUUUACUGAGGUUCUCAUGCCUAUGUUUUAAAAACCUUUCUCACAACUUACUGCUGGAAAUAACUGCAUAUAAAAGAAAAUAAUUCUCAUUUUUUUAGUUUGGAUUUCUUAUGACAAAUGGGAUACUUUUUGUUUAUAAAGUGAAACCCCAACACUUUGAAUAAUGAAGCCUUCAAAUAGUACUGAGAUUUACUGAUACAUCUGAAAGCUAAGGUUCUGCUAUAGGAAGAGACUCAUAGAACUGCACCACGUCAUCCUGCCUGAGUGUAAAAUGUACAGGCAUCAGUCUACCUAAAUCUGCAUAAGCUUCCUUAUAAAGUCUACUUGCUUACCAGUGCUUCUGCUGCUGUGGAGAACAUGAAUUUCAGCAAUACAUGAGACCAUGUCACGUUGCUCCCUGAUGUCUCUAUCAGAAACCCUUAGAAAUGGUGAAAAGAUUUUGAAAAGUGAAGAUGGUUCUGUUUUGGGUAAAAUGACUGAGCACCAGCACCAACUCUUCUAUAAAGCAUUCUCACCCGAAAGAGGAGACUGCUGCCUUCCCCGCCUGGCACUACCAUGGUCCUCUGUGGAAGCUUCCGGCAUGGCAAUGCGAGUUCCUAUUCCUAAAGAUAGGGCCACGUUCCACUCACCGCUGAAUCCCCAAGCCCCACAAAGUGCUCAGUAUGUAUUAGACACAUAAAUGUUCAUGGGAUGAUGCGUGCAUUUUGAAUGACGCAGAACAACAAAAGACAUCUCUUUGAUUUAAAAAACAAAAAAGCACACUGGGUGUAAGGUUAGGAAAUUUGGUUUUCUCACACUGAAUGAGCUGAGAACAUCUGCAACACAAAAGACGUUUAAUACCUCUUACUCAUUGUAUAGUUAAUAAACUAUUUAAUUUUGUACAAAUUUUUAAAAUGGGAGAUGUCUAGAAAUAAGGUGUAAUUUUUUAACUUAAAGAAAAUUUCCGACAGAGAGAACGGCACAAGCAACCAAAACAAAUUGGAAAAUUGGACUUCAUCAAAAUUAAAACACUACUUGCUUCAGAGAACAACAUGAAGAAAGUGAAAAGACAAUCACAGAAUGGGAGAAAAGAUCUCACAAUUCAGAUAUCUGAUAAGGGUGGGGGUGUUUGGGGGUAUGUGUGUGUAUACAAAAUAUAUAAAGAACUAUCACCACUCAAUACAAAGACAGUGCAUUUAAAAAAUGGGCAAAUAAUUUGAAUAGGUAUUUCUCUAACAAAGAUAUACAAGUGGCCAAAAAGCACAUGAAAAGAUGUUCAAUACCAUUAGUGAUCAGGGAAUGCAAAUCAAAAUAAUGAGACACCACUUCACAUCCAUUAGGAUGGCUACUAUGAAAAAUACAAUCAUGGAAAAGUGUUGGCAACGAUGUGGAGAAAUUGGAACCCUCAAAUAUUGCUGAGAACGAAAAAGGUGCACCUUCACACAAAAGCAGGUGCACUUUGGAAAACAGACGGGCAUUUCCUCAAAAAGUUAAAUACAGAGUUACCAUAUAACCCAGCAAUUCCACUCCUAGGUAUAUACCCAAAGGAAAUGAAAACCUGUGUCCACUAGAAAAUGCAUACGCAAAUGUUCACAGCAGUAUGAUUCAUAACGACCGAAAAGUGGAAACCACCACAAUGUCCAUCAACUGAUGAAGAAAUAAGCAAAAUGUAGUAUUGUCCAUACAAUAGAAUACUAAGCAAUAAAAAGGAAUGAAGUUCUGAUACAUGCUGCAAUGUAGAAAGAAGCCAGACACAAAAGGUCACAUAUUUUAUGAUUCCAUUUAUAUGGCACGUCCAGAAUACGUAAAUCCACAGAGAUAGAAAGUAGAUGAGUGGCUGCUAGAGGCAAGAGAGACAGAGAGGAGAAUGGAGAGUAGGUAUGGGAUUUCUUUUUGGGGUGAUGAAAGUGUCCUGGAAUUAGUCAGAAGUGAUGGGUGUACAACUCUGUGAGUAUACUAAAAAUCAUUGAGUUCUACACUUUAAAAGGGUAAACUUUAUAGUAUAUGAAUUAUAUCUCAAUAAAGCUGUUAUUAUUUAAAAUGGUCAAAGUCAUAUAGUAACACCUCUGUGCAGAGGCCUGUUGAAUCAUUCUGCUUGCUACAGGAUAACCUGUUGUAAAAACACACAAGCUGUUCAAAUGAGGAAAUAGUUUAUUUUCCUACCAAUAAAUCCCUACAGUGACCAACCAUAAAACCAAAUCCAAAAUAAAAAAGAGGAAAGAACAAAACAGCAUGCAAUUUGCAAUUUGCUGGCAGGUACAGAAUGGAAUUAACCAAAGACGGCACAAAGAAAAAUGUUUAUCAGAACUGCUUACUUCUCUUUGAUUACACAGAUUUAACAAGUCAAAGUCCUUUUUACUCACGAAAAAAAUGUGCCAGCUUCUUUAUUAGCACACAGCAAGGAAAAACAAGCAUUCUCUCCUAUAACCAAAUUAACAUCCCGCAGAAGGUCUGUUUGUACUUGGCAGUCAUGAACCUUUCAUCUCAGAGCGCUGCUAAAUUAAACAAGUCUCUGCUGUAUUGAACAUGAUGAGCCAGACACCCUGGCAGGCUCCUCAGCUUCAUGAGUUGAUGUUGAAGAGCAUUAGAAAUAAAGAGGAUGGUGAAAAUGAUGGUGGGGGUGCUCAUAAAGUAGCAUUAUCUUCAUUCUGUUCAGCAUUUCCAUGGUCUACAAUGGCAACAUUCUAACAACUUUCAAGCAUUCUAACACCACCUCUCCCCGUCCUAGGGAAGAAAAGCAUGGAUUUUAGAGCCAGAGAGAUGUGUACUCAAGUCACAGUUUUGCUUUGUUUGUUUGUUUGUUUGUUUUGAGACGGAGUCUUGCUCUGCCACCCAGGCUGGAGUGCAGUGGCCGGAUCUCAGCUCACUGCAAGCUCCGCCUCCCAGGUUUACACCAUUCUCCUGCCUCAGCCUCCCGAGUAGCUGGAACUACAGGCGCCCGCCACCUCGCCCGGCUAGUUUUUUGUAUUUUAAGUAGAGACAGGGUUUCACCGUAUUAGCCAGGAUGGUCUCCAUCUCCUGACCUCGUGAUCCGCCCGUCUCGGCCUCCCAAAGUGCUGGGAUUACAGGCUUGAGCCACCGCGCCUGGCCCCGUUUUGUUUUGUUUUUAACCUACAAGCUGCAUGCCCCAGUCCUGAUUUCACAAUCUCAUUGAGUCCUUCUACUCUUUAAAACUGGGGUAAUGAAAUCUAUCCUCACAGAACUGUUGUGAAAACAAAAUGAGGUAAUGCACACAAAAGACAUCGUACAAGGCUCAAUGUACAUUCCCCACCAUAAAAUUCCUCACUGCUCUUAACUCUUCAAAGAACAUGCUCAUUUUAGAGUUUAUAUCACAGUAUAAGUAAUGGCCACUGGCAUCCUUCUUCUACCCAAGGACAGAAAUCUAAUCAAUCAAAAGAUCCUAUGAAGAUUUCGCAUUACAUAAAUUAUUCCCCUCCAUCCAUCUCCACCUCACAUAGACUUGAAGGUAACAAAGCCAUGAAUACAAUCUUUCAAAUGUAUUAAAUCAGGGCAUGGCACAAAGCAUUCAUUCACCUAAGAGGUAUUUAAAAGCACUGAACUGAGAGACACAUGAAGAGAAACACUUACUAUUAGAGGAAAAUGCAUAUUUUGCAGUGCAAUAAUUGGCAACCUUUCCAUAAAGAUUGAUGCAAUCUGAUUGUAAUUCUCAAGUGUCAGUUACCAGUUCUUAAGGUAAAAGAAAAAGGAAGUGGGAUGGUUUCAAGUAUGCCAAAAAAGAUGUAGGAGGAUAUCCUUUCACACUGACAGCAAUUAAUGUUUGAGUGAUAGCUGCUAGAACAAUCAGACUGAAGAACUUUGUUACAUUAGAACAGACUGAAAUAUAUUUAAAAUAAAACUUACUGGGUUUAACAUACACAAACACAUAAUCUUCACCUUGAACUAGGUGUCCUCUCCGAGCAAAAUGAAGAAGUAAAAGCUUGCAUUUCUAAUAUUUGCCAUUGCCUAGCUAUGAUAAGGAAGGAACUGAUGGUUUUCAGCCAUAUUCCCACGUUGGACAUCUAUUUAAAGAGAGUAGCCUAGACUCUGCAGCAAUACAGUCAGACUCACUCUCCUCAACUCAAGAUAAAUUUCCAGCAUCCCACAACACUAAGCAAAGUGCCCAGAGUUAGGAAGGAAGGAAAUUUCUCAAGGGGAAUAGGACAUUCGGAGGUUAAGUACAU